rnacentral:rRNA from 1 species
GUAAGGAAUAUUGCUCAAUGGGAGAAAUCCUGAAGCAGCAACGCCGCGUGGAGGAUGAAGGGUCUAUGACUUGUAAACUCCUGUAAAGAAGGAAAAAAUUCCCAUUUGAUGGGAGAUGAUGGUACUUCUGGAGUAAGCCCCGGCUAACUACGUGCCAGCAGCCGCGGUAAUACGUAGGGGGCAAGCGUUGUCCGGAUUUACUGGGUGUAAAGGGUGCUCAGGCGGAUUUGUAAGUCAGAGGUGAAAUCUUACAGCUUGACUGUGAAACUGCCCUUGAUACUGCAAGCCUAGAGUAUGGAAGAGAGUGAUGGAAUAUCUGGUGUAGCAGUGAAAUGCGUAGAUAUCAGAUAGAACACCAAUGGCGAAGGCAGUCACUUGGUCCAUUACUGACGCUAAAGCACGAAAGCGUGGGUAGCAAACA